rnacentral:rRNA from 1 species
CAGCAGCCGCGGUAAUACGUAGGGUGCGAGCGUUAAUCGGAAUUACUGGGCGUAAAGCGUGCGUAGGCGGUUUGUUAAGUCUGCUGUGAAAUCCCCGGGCUCAACCUGGGAAUGGCAGUGGAUACUGGCAAGCUAGAGUGUGUCAGAGGAUGGUGGAAUUCCCGGUGUAGCGGUGAAAUGCGUAGAGAUCGGGAGGAACAUCAGUGGCGAAGGCGGCCAUCUGGGACAACACUGACGCUGAGGCACGAAAGCAUGGGGAGCAAACAGGAUUAGAUACCCGGGUAGUCCCUGUCUCUUAUAC